GGCGGCUCCGUCAUUUGAAUUAUUGUUUGGAGAAGCGAUCUCAGCGACGGACCCAACCCAAGUCCCCUGGAAGGGGCGCCAGAGAGGGUGUGAGCCUCAUUGUGCCCAGACCCUGUUUCAUCACGAGGCACUGUCUUCGUGUUGGAUGUGGAAUGGCGAUGAGCUGGUCCGCCGAUCGACACGGGGCGUGGACCAGCUUGGAUUAGGAGGCAGCCAAAGUUUGGGCUCUCGAUACGCUCAUGGAAUGCCAUCUCCUCGAUUAUGGCAGGCAGCGCGUGCCUCCGAUGUACUUCGGCAUCUGCGCGCUACGGACGCUGGCCUGUGGGCUCCCUAUUCGACCCGUUUUGAAAAACGGACCAAGGAGUCUGAUAUGUGUCCGACUCAACGGGCGAGUAAACUCGUAAGGCGUAAGGAAGUUGAUUGGUGGUAUCCCCCUGAGGGGUACACCGCCGACCGACAUUGAUCUUCUGAGAAGGGUUUGAGUGUGAGCAUACCUGGUGAGACCCGAAAGAUGGUGAACUAUGCCUGAGCGGGGCGAAGCCAGAGAAAACUCUGGUAGAGGCCCGCAAUGAUACUGAUGUGAAAAUCAUAUAUCUGACUUGGGUGUAGGGCCCGCGGCUGCUUUGUAAAGCCAUGCCACGGAAUCAAGAGCUCCAAAUGGGCCAUUUUUGGUAAUCAGAACUGGCGAUGCAGGAUGAACCGGAAGCCGUGUUACGGUGCCAAACUACACUCUAACCUAGAUCCCAUAAAGGGUGUUGGUUGAUUAAGACAGCAGGACGGUGGUCAUAGAAGUCAAAAUCUGCUAAGGAGUGUGUAACAACUCACCUGCCAAAUAAAAUAGCCCCGAAAAUGGAUGGCGCUUAAGCGCGCGACCUACACCCGGCCAUCGGGGAAAGUUCCAGGCCCCGAUGAGUAGGAGGGCAUGGCGGUUGCUGCAAAACCUUGGGUGCGAGCUCGGGCAGAGCGGCCAUCGGUGCAGAUAUUAGUGGUAGUAGCAAAUAUUCAAAUGACAACUUUGAAGGCUGAAGAGGGGAAAGUUUCCAUGUGAACGGCACUUGCACAUGGAUUAGUCGAUCCUAAGGGUCGGGGGAACCCCGACAGAUAGCGCGUUUCGCGCGUACUCUAAAAGGGAAUAGGGUUAAAAUUUCUAAACCGAGACAUGGCGGUCGACGACAAUGUUAGGAAGUCCGGAGAAAUCGGCGAAAGCCUCGGGAAGUGUUAUCUUUUCUGUUUAACAGCCUGCCCACCCUGGAAUCAGCUCAGCCGGAGGUAGGGUCCAGCGGCUGGAAGAGCACCUCAUGUCGCGUGGUGUCUGGUGCACUACCGGCAACCCUUGAAAAUCCAUAGGACCCAAUGCCGUCUAUGCUCGGUCGUACUCAUAACCACAUCAGGUCUCCAAGGGGAACAACCUCUGGUCGAUAGAACAAUGUAGGCAAGCGAAGUCAGUAAAAUGGAUCCGUAACAUCCGGAAAAGGAUUAGCACUGAGGGCUGGGAACGGAGAUCCCAGUCCCAAACCCGUCGGUUGUUGGUGUACUACUCGAGCUUCUCCCAUAGCGAGAGCGGGUUACCGCAUGCCGGUCGGGGGACGGACUGGGAACAGUUCCUUCGGAGGCCUUCCCGGUGCAUCGAAUAGCCAACUUAGAACUGGUACGGACAAGGGAAAUUCAACUAUUUAAUUAAAAAAAAAGCAUUGCAAUGGUCCCAACGGAUGUUCACGCAUUGUGAUUUCGGCCCAGUGCUCUGAAUGUCAAAGUGAAAAAAUUCAACCAAGCGCGGGUAAACGGCAGGAGUAACUAUGACUCUCUUAAGGUAGCCAAAUGCCUCGUCAUCUAAUUAGUGAUGCGCAUGAAUGGAUUAACGAGAUUCCCACUAUCCCAAUCUACUAUCCAGAGAAACCACAGCCAAUGGAACGGGCUUGGCAGAAUCAGCGGGGAAAGAAGACCCUCUUGAGCUUGACUCUACUCUGACUUUGUGAAAUGACUUGAGAGGUGUAGUAUGAGUGGGAGCCGAAAGGACAAAGUGAAAUACCACUACUAUUAACGUUAUUUUACUUAUUCCAUGAAUUGGAAGCGGGGCAAUGCCCCUCUUUUUGGACCCAAGGCUCACUUUGCGGGCCGAUCCGGGCAGAAGACAUUGUUAGGUAGGGAGUUUGGCUGGGGCGGCACAUCUAUUAAAAGAGAACGCAGGUGUCCUAAGAUGAGCUCAACGAGAACAGAAAUAUCGUGUGGAACAGAAGGGUAAAAGCUCGUUUGAUUCUGAUUUCUAGUACGAAUACGAACCAUUAAAGCGUGGCCUAACGAUCCUUUAGACCUUCGAAAUUCGAAGCUAGAGGUGUCAGAAAAGCGUUACCAUAGGGAUAACUGGCCUGUUGCAGCCAAGCAUUUAGAGCGACGUUGCUGUUUCAUCCUUCGUUGUCGGCUCUUCCUAUCAUUAUGAAGCAAAAUUCACCAAGUGUUGGACUAUUCACCCACCAAUAGGGAACGUGAGCUGGGUUUAGAUUGUCGUAAGACAGGUUAGUUUUACCCUACUUAUGACAGUGUCUCAGUAGUAAUUCAAUUUAGUACGAGAGGAAACAUUGAUUCACAUAAUUUAUUAUCGCUCUUAGUUGAAAAGACAGUGGCGUAAAGCUACCGUGUGUUGGAUUAUGACUGAACAUCUCUAAGUUAGAAUCCAGGCUAAAAGUGACGCAUGCACCCGCUGUCUGCUUGCCGACCCACAGUAGGGGCCUCAGCCCCUAAGGGCACGUAUCGUUUGCUAAGCCACUGCGGCGGAAGAGUCGCGGUGGCCGCCUUGAUGUAUAAUUUCCAUCGAGCGGCGGGUAGAAUCCUUUGCAGACGACUUAAAUAUGUGAUGAGGUACUGUAAGUGGAAGAGUGUCCUUGCUGCCACGAUCCACUGAGAUUCAUCCCUUUGUCGCUCUGGUUCGU
rnacentral:rRNA from 1 species